GAUGAACUGUGGGUAGCGGAGAAAUUCCAAUCGAACCCGGAGAUAGCUGGUUCUCCCCGAAAUAGUUUUAGGACUAGCCUCAAGUUAGAUACCUGGAGGUAAAGCACUGAAUAGCCUAGCGGCCGAGAGGUUAGCGAAGCUUAUCAAACUCAGAAUGCCAGAGUAUUGAUGCUUGGGAGUCAGACAGUGUCAGAUAAAUGUCAUUGUCAAAAGGGAAACAGCCCAGAUCUACAGCUAAGGUCCCAAAGUCAGGUUAAGUGGAAAACGAUGUGAAGAUACGCAGACAACCAGGAUGUUGGCUCAGAAGCAGCCACUCAUUCAAAGAGUGCGUAAUAGCUCACUGGUCGAGCGUCUUUGCGCGGAGAAUUUAACGGGGCUAAACCUGACACCGAAGCUUAGGCAAUACAGCAAUGUAUUGGGUAGGGGAGCGUUGUAUACGCGGUGAAACAGUAGCGCAAGCGGCUGUGGAGUGUAUAGAAGUGAGAAUGCCGGAAUGAGUAGCGCGAAUGCAGUGAGAAUCUGCAUGGCCGAAAGCCUCAGGUUUCUGGAGGAAGGUUCGUCCGCUCCAGGUUAGUCGGGAGCUAAGGUGAGGCCUAACGGCGUAGCCGAUGCACAGACGGUAGAGAUUCCGUCACCACCAAAAGAGUUAAACACAGGGACACAUUUGAAGUCUCGGAGCCGGGUGUUGGUUCCGGUAGCGAUCGAGGGAAGUUAGUACCGAAGUCCGGGAUGGAAGAUGGCGAGAAAAGCUGUGUGUAUUUCUGCGGUGCCCGUACCGCAAACCGACACAGGUAGGUAGGAAGAAGAUUCUAAGGCCAACGGGAGAAGGGUUGUUAAGGAACUCGGCAAAUUGACCCCGUAACUUCGGGAGAAGGGGUGCUCCAGAGAUGGAGCCGCAGAGAAUCGGCCCAAGCAACUGUUUACCAAAAACACAGGUUUGUGCUAAAUCGAAAGAUGACGUAUACGAGCUGACGCCUGCCCGGUGCUGGAAGGUUAAGAGGAGAUGUGCAAGCAUUGAAUCGAAGCCCCAGUGAACGGCGGCCGUAACUAUAACGGUCCUAAGGUAGCGAAAUUCCUUGUCAGGUAAG
rnacentral:rRNA from 1 species